UCAUACAACGAUAGAGAGAGAGAGAGAGAGAGUGGGGAAAGCAGAGUGAAGAAAGAACUACAACGACAAGACCACGAAGAUUCAUUGUGACCGAACAGUCUCACUGGACGCAUCGCAAAUUUUUGUAAGAACACAGAGCACAGGCUUGAGAAAAUACCCAGAGCACGAGUGACAGUGACCAGAGUUU